UAACAGCUUGAUGAAGGGUCACUGUGUUGUGGUGUCAUGUAGGCAUUAUGGAGGGGGUUUUUUUCCUGAAACUUUUUACAUUUUGUAAUGACAAGUGAGUUAGCUGUCAUAAAGUAGUAAAUGCUGUUCUGUACAUGUCAUGACACACCAGAAAAAUCUCUCACAACUAGUUUAAGACACUAUGCAUCACACAAGAACAUAGGUAGUAUUUUUAUACCCAGCUCAUUACUAAUUAAAGUAUACUUUUUAUUGUGUUACAUAUUUUGUAUUAGGUGAUUAUGUACCUGAUGGUACUUUUUGAGGAGGAAAACAAAACUGGCCUGGUGGCAAAGGAGUGGUUUUCAGAUGGCCUCGCUUUGUGGCCCCUAUACAGUGACCAAUGCCAGAUUCUCUGAUGUGUCCAAAAAAAGGUUGUCCCCAAUCCAUCAAAGGGCUGGAGACAAUUUGCCGCACGUGUGCUCUACGAAUCAGACCAAAAGGUCUCAGGUCACCAUCACCCUCAUCAACAUCAUCACUUCCAUCAGAGGAAGAUGACCAUUUGGCAACCUUACAAGAAAAUUGCCUGCCCAAAACACCAAAAAGGAUUCAUCGACUCCCUUCCAGAAACCUAACAGCCCCUCCUCCCUUACCAGUGGUCUCAAGACCAAAGAGCACAGAUGCCAUCAUAGCUGUGAUUUCACAGACCCGACCAGUGUCCUCCAACAGUGAUCCUUGCCCUGUUCCAGCCUGACAACCCAGCAAUAUGGACUGUUCUCAACGUAAACAAAAUGACAUAGUGAAGAUAGGGUGUAUCUAAAAAAAAAUGCACAAAAGGCUUCUAGUGACAAAGACAUGCUAGUCUAAUCUUUGUGUAAUGUUGUUUAUUUCAUAAUAGUGAUUUCACAGGCCAGACCAGUGUCCUCCAACAGUGACCACUGCCCUGUUCCAGCCUGGCAACCCAGCAAUAUGGACUCUUCCCAACGUAAACAAGAUUACAUAGUGAAAAUAUAGCAUAUGUGAAAGAAAUCACUGACCCAAGCAUUUCUGAUUUUAUUUGUGAGAUUAACAUCAAUAAAUGAUUUCUUAUUCGAAGAGAUGACA
ensembl:lncRNA